rnacentral:rRNA from 1 species
GGUAACGCUGGCGGCGUGUCUUAGCCAUGCAAGUCGAGCGGACUUAUGGGGUAACUUAUAAGUCAGCGGCGGACGGCGGAGUAACACGUAGCUAACCUACCCUCUGGACGGGGAUAACCUACCGAAAAGGUGGGCUAAUACUCGAUGUAGUCAUCCUGUAUAGGGGUGAUGAAAGGUGGGCUUCUGUUUACAAGCUCAUGCUGGAGGAGGGGGCUGCGGCCUAUCAGGUAGUUGGUAGGGUAAUAGCCUACCAAGCCGAUGACGGGUAGCCGGCCUGAGAGGGUGACCGGCCCGAGGGGCACUGAGAUACGGGUCCCACUCCUACGGGAGGCAGCAGGCUAGAAAUUUGGGCAAUGGGGGAAACCCUGACCCAGUGACGCCGCGUGCAGGAAGGAGCCCUUCGGGGUGUAAACUGCUGUCGUGUAGGGAGAAGGGUACUAAGGUGAACAAUCUUAGUACUUGACGGUACUACAGGAGGAAGCCCAGGCUAACCUCGUG